rnacentral:rRNA from 1 species
GACGAACGCUGGCGGCGUGCUUAACACAUGCAAGUCGAACGGUGAAGCGCCUUCCUUUUUGGUGGGUGUGGAUGAGUGGCGAACGGGUGAGUAACACGUUAGUAACCUGCCCCCUUCUUCUGGAUAACCGCAUGAAAGUGUGGCUAAUACGGGAUAUUCUGGGUCUGUCGCAUGAUGGGUCUGGGAAAGAUAUUGUUUCGGUGGGGGAUGGGCUCGCGGCCUAUCAGCUUGUUGGUGGGGUGAUGGCCUACCAAGGCGGUGACGGGUAGCCGGCCUGAGAGGGUGGACGGUCACACUGGGACUGAGACACGGCCGAGACUCCUACGGGAGGCAGCAGUGGGGAAUAUUGCACAAUGGGCGCAAGCCUGAUGCAGCGACGCCGCGUGAGGGAUGGAGGCCUGCGGGUUGUGAACCUCUUUCGCCAGUGAAGCAGGCCUGCCUCGUUUGUGGGUGGGUUGACGGUAGCUGGAUAAGAAGCGCCGGCUAACUACGCG